rnacentral:rRNA from 1 species
GGACGAACGCUGGCGGCGUGCCUAACACAUGCAAGUCGAGCGAUGAAAUCCUUCGGGAUGGAUUAGCGGCGGACGGGUGAGUAACACGUGGGUAACCUGCCUCAAAGAGGGGAAUAGCCUCCCGAAAGGGAGAUUAAUACCGCAUAAUAUGUUUUGGUCGCAUGACCGAAACAUCAAAGGAGCAAUCCGCUUUGAGAUGGACCCGCGGCGCAUUAGCUAGUUGGUGAGGUAACGGCUCACCAAGGCGACGAUGCGUAGCCGACCUGAGAGGGUGAUCGGCCACAUUGGAACUGAGACACGGUCCAGACUCCUACGGGAGGCAGCAGUGGGGAAUAUUGCGCAAUGGGGGAAACCCUGACGCAGCAACGCCGCGUGAAUGAUGAAGGCCUUCGGGUUGUAAAGUUCUGUCUUCUGGGACGAUAAUGACGGUACCAGAGGAGGAAGCCACGGCUAACUACG